CAGGCUCUGGCCAGAGACACUUUGGGUCUGAGGCAGUGACUUAGAUCCCCGCUCCACAGACCGGCAGGUCCCCAGCGCUCUGCUCCGCUCUUGCCAUGGGGGACACUGGUGGGCCGUAACGUCCCAGAGUGGGGAUGUCUUGGGAGGAGUGAUGAUGGGCAGAUGCACCUCCCCCUGUGGCGGCCAGAGGUCCCGAACAGCUCUCCAGCUCUCCAGCUCUCCAGCUCUCCACUCUGCUUCCUGGAGAACUGGAGUUGCGAUCAGCAGCUCCCGCCUCACCCCUGCCUGCACCCUAGAGCCAGGCAUGGCAGGCUCACCCGGGCCACUGCCCCUCCUCAUCACAGAUGAGGAGACUGAGGCACACAGCGCUCAAGGCACCUGGACAAGGUCUUGACUCAUGCAGCCUGGCCUAGAUGCCAGCCCGGCACCACCCCUGGAUGACAGAAAGCACAGAAUACAUCUGGUAGAAGCCGGCGUUGAACUAGUUACAGGUUUAAGGGCACCCUGCCGCCAGUGUCUGACCCAUUAGCUAGGGCUAUGCUGAGCCCCCUGCUCAGCCCUCCCGCAGGAUUCUCUCCGUGGGGAGUCACAAGCCAAAGCUCCCACUCCAUCUUGAGGCAGGUGAACAGGCUCUGGGGUCGCCCUUAAUUAGACCUAGAAGCUGUUAAAAGUGGGUCCCCCAUGAAGUGACCCCCAGAGGGCUUGCACUGCCUCAAGGUUAGAGCAGGCUCUUUGCCUUCUGAACAGGAACCCACACUGAAGCCCCAGCCUCUUAUAAACCAGAGUGCCGUGCACCACAGGCCCAAAAAUCAACUCACCCAGGGUGCAUGGCGAGGCUGGGCUUGAGCUGACUUGGGUGGUUGUUGAUGCCAGUGUUACUACUGAGUUAACUUGGGCCCUUUUCUUCCAUGUUGUCAAUGCCCAGAUGAUUCCACAGUGCAUUGCUUUGCUAGGACACCUAGAGGUUCCUUCUUUCAUCUUGGGUUUCAAAAAGACCAGGGUGGGGAAUGUGCUUCAGUGGUACAGCGGCAGAACACUUGCCUGGCAU
ensembl:lncRNA